AUUGAACGCUGGCGGCAGGCCUAACACAUGCAAGUCGAGCGGAUGAAGGGAGCUUGCUCCUGGAUUCAGCGGCGGACGGGUGAGUAAUGCCUAGGAAUCUGCUUGGUAGUGGGGGAUAACGUCCGGAAACGGGCGCUACUACCGCCUACGUCCUGGGGGUGAAAGUGGGGGAUGUUCGGACCUCACGCUAUCAGAUGAGCCCAGGCGGGGUUAGCUAGUUUGUGGGGUAAAGAGCUGCCAAGCGGACGAUCCGUAACUGGUCUGAGAGGAUGAUCAAUCGCAUUGGAAGUGAGACACGGUCCAGAGUCCUACGGGAGGCACCAGUGGGGAAUAUUGGACAAUGGGCGAAAGCAUUAUCCAGCCAUGCCGCGUGUGAGAAGAAGGUCUUCGGAUUGUAAAGCACGUUAAGUUGUGAGGAAGGGCAGUAAGUUAAUACCUUGCUGUUUUGACGUUACCAGCAGAAUAAGCACCGGCUAACUUCGUG
rnacentral:rRNA from 1 species